rnacentral:sRNA from 1 species
CUGACAGCCGUGAAAACUCCAGCCCUCAAUUUAUUUAUCUACAGAACAAAUAGAGUGGAAACAGUGGCAAACCCCAGCUUUCCACGUGGGUUUUCCACUGCCGGUCGCACCCCUGACCUGGGGAGACCUUCUCUGAGCGGGUGAGAAGGUUGCACAGUCUUCCAGUCCUGUUCAGACUCAACUUCU